GGGCGCGUAGCUCAGCGGGAGAGCACUCCCUUCACACGGGAGGGGUCACAGGUUCGAUCCCUGUCGCGCCCACCA
rnacentral:tRNA from 1 species